rnacentral:tRNA from 1 species
GCGGGAGAGAACGCGGCACGGCUGAUCGAAACGCUGCGCGAUGACGCGCAUCGCGUGGCUCAUAACCACGAGGUCGCCAGUUCGAGUCUGGCCUCUGCA